GCGCGGGUGAUGAAAUCGGUAGACAUGCAAGCUUGAGGGGCUUGUGGGAGCAAUCCCGUGGGAGUUCAAAUCUCCCCCCGCGCA
rnacentral:tRNA from 1 species